AUUGAACGCUAGCGGGAUGCUUUACACAUGCAAGUCGAACGAGUGGCGGACGGGUGCGUAAUAUAUCGGAAAGUGCCCAGUAGCGGGGGAUAACUACUCGAAAGGGUGGGUAAUAACGCCUACGAUUGGAGCGGCCGAUAUCGGAUUAUCUAGUGGGUGGGGUAAAGGCUAACCAAGGCAACGAUCCGUAGCUGGUUUGAGAGGACGACCAGCCACACGGGGACUGAGACACGGCCCAGACCCCUACGGGAGGCAGCAGUGGGGAAUGUUGGACAAUGGGGGAAACCCUGAUCCAGCCAUCCCGCGUGUAUGAGAAGGCCUUCGGGUUGUAAAGUACUUUUGGCAGAGAAGCGGUAUCUGCAGAAUAAGCACCGGCUAACUACGUGCCAGCCGCCGCGGUAAUUC
rnacentral:rRNA from 1 species